rnacentral:tRNA from 1 species
GUUGGUAUGGCUCAGUUGGUUAGAGCGUUGGUCUCAUAGUGAAUAGCUGUGAUCUGAUCCUAGAUCAGAGUGAUCCAAAGGUCGAGAGUUCGAACCUCUCUACCGACA